CACUACGAUGCUCUUCCCGAACUGCCCCCCUCAUUCUCGGCCAUUUCUCAAGCAAAAUCCCACCCGGACCUCCCAAACACAAAAUUAAAAAUGCAAGACAAUAAACCCGACAUCGCCACCAAAAACUCCAAGAAGGCCAAUCUCUCAGACCACUACUCUAUCAAGCACAUUCUCGACGAGUCCGUCUCCGAGAUUGUAACAAGUCGUGGAUAUGUGGAAGACGUGAGGAUGAGCAAUAUACGAUUGUUGAUGGGCACGAUUAUAAUCAUCAUUGCUCUGGCGGCUCAGUUUUACAGGAAAAAGUUUCCUGAGAACAGGAAUUUUCUCAUCGGCUGCAUCGUAUUGUAUAUAGUCUUCAAUGGGUUAUUGCAGCUGAUCAUCUACACAAAUGAGAAGAAUGAAAUUCUGUUUACCUAUCCCCCUGUGGGAUCCUUUACCGGCACAGGCUUGGUGGUGUCUUCCAAGUUGCCGAGAUUUUCUGAUACGUACACACUUGGCAUAGCGAGUGCAGAUCCUAAAUCUAUUUCUGCAAAUCAACCAGUACAGUUAACCAGAAGUGUUACUGAAUGGUUCACAAAGGAUGGAGUUUUGGUGGAGGGUCUAUUCUGGAAAGAUGUUGAAGCAUUAAUUAAUGAAUAUGCAAAAGAACCAAAGAAGAUUAAGUGAAUGACCUUGUCUGAUCGGGCAUUGGUUCAGAACUCUAGUCAUCUUUUGACGUGAAUCCAGAUGUUUGUCAGUGAUAUCAUGGUUUUUGGCAUUGAGAGACAACCAAACAAAUGGAAUUAAAAUGGCCGUUUGUGGUGCAUGAGUCAGAUCGUUUUCAUUAUACAGUUGUUUCUUUCUAGUUGAAAAUUUUACGUCCAAUCCAAUGCUGAGAAUGGAUCUGUAUAAGGAUCAUGCACAAUAGCUAGGCCAAUGUUCUGGAGAAGGAUAGACUUCGAGACUGGGCUUGUGUACAGGGAAGCGGGUAUUUCUCUACUUUUACUCACCACUGAUUUCCUAGCUAUGCUUUCUGUACAAAGAAUGCUUGUCUACACGGAAGCGGGUAUUUCUCUGCUUGUACUCACCACUGAUUUCCUAGCUAUGCUUUCUGUACAAAGAGUGUGCAAAAA